rnacentral:lncRNA from 1 species
UCUAUUUACAAGCAGCUAGUAGGCUUAUAGUUUAGGAGAUACAGGGACAAAAAUAAUGAAACAAUAUCUGAUCUCAAAAAGAGUUGCCCGUCAAGAAGGAGGGAGUUUCCAUACCAGGAGUAUCUAACCAUGUUGAAAUUAUAUCAGUGGAAUCACACCACAAUCUACAGAAAAGGCUUCAUCUCCCAGUGAUUUAUGAUACCUAUUGAAAAGUGUACCUAUGUAUGUAGGAGAGGGAAGAUGAAAUUCAGAAG